rnacentral:rRNA from 1 species
GGAUGAACGCUGGCGGCGUGCCUAAUACAUGCAAGUCGAGCGAACAGACGAGGAGCUUGCUCCUCUGACGUUAGCGGCGGACGGGUGAGUAACACGUGGAUAACCUACCUAUAAGACUGGGAUAACUUCGGGAAACCGGAGCUAAUACCGGAUAAUAUAUUGAACCGCAUGGUUCAAUAGUGAAAGACGGUUUUGCUGUCACUUAUAGAUGGAUCCGCGCCGCAUUAGCUAGUUGGUAAGGUAACGGAUUACCAAGGCAACGAUGCGUAGCCGACCUGAGAGGGUGAUCGGCCACACUGGAACUGAGACACGGUCCAGACUCCUACGGGAGGCAGCAGUAGGGAAUCUUCCGCAAUGGGCGAAAGCCUGACGGAGCAACGCCGCGUGAGUGAUGAAGGUCUUCGGAUCGUAAAACUCUGUUAUUAGGGAAGAACAAAUGUGUAAGUAACUAUGCACGUCUUGACGGUACCUAAUCAGAAAGCCACGGCUAACUACGUG